CGGCCACCGCUAUUGGAAUGCGCUUAAGCCAUGCGAGUCGAGAGUCUUCGGGACUCGGCUGACGGCUCAGUAACACGCGGAUAACCUGCCCUUAGGUGGGGGAUAAUCUCGGGAAACUGAGAAUAAUACCCCAUAGGUAUCUUAUGCUGGAAUGCUUGGAUACUAAAAUCUCCGGAGCCUAAGGAUGGGUCUGCGGCCUAUCAGGUUGUAGUGGGUGCAACGGACUCACUAGCCUACGACGGGUACGGGCUUUGGGAGAAGUUGCCCGGAGAUGGGCUCUGAGACACGAGCCCAGGGUCUACGGACCGCAGCAGGCGCGAAAACUUCACAAUGUUCGCAAGAACGAUGAGGGUAUUCCAAGUGCUAACACAUUGUGUUAGCUGUUUCUCUGCCUAAAAAGCAGAGAGAGUAAGGGCCGGGUAAGACGGGUGCCAGUUCGUGCAGUUCUGCGCUUAUUGUUCUUUGCUGCACAAAGCACAAGCCGCCGCGGUAAUACCCGCGGCCCGAGUGGUGGUCAGUAUUAUUGAGCUUAAAGCGUCCGUAGCCGGUCUGGUAAAUCCUUGGGCAAAUCGAAUCGCUUAACGAUCCGAAUUCCGAGGAGACUGCUAGACUUGGGACUGGGAGAGGUUAGAGGAACUCCCGGGGUAGGGGUAAAAUCCUGUAAUCCUAGGGGGACCACCAGUGGUGAAGACGUCUAACUAGAACAGAUCCGACGGUGAGGGACGAAGCCCUGGGGCGCAAACGGGAUUAGAUACCCCGGUAGUCCAGGGUGUAAACGCUGCAGACUUGGUGUUGGGCGUCCUAUGUGGGCGCCCAGUGCCGGAGAGAAAUUGUUAAGUCUGCCGCUUGGGGAGUAUACUCGCAAGAGCGAAACUUAAAGGAAUUGGCGGGGGAGCACCGCAACGGGAGGAGCGUGCGGUUUAAUUGGAUUCAACGCCGGAAAACUCACCGGGGGCGACGGUUACAUGAAGGCCAAGCCGAUGACUUUGCCUGAUUUUCCGAGAGGUGGCGCAUGGCCGUCGUCAGUUCGUACCGUAAGGCGUUCUGUUAAGUCAGAUAACGAACAAGACCCUCAUCUUUAGUUGCUAAUACCCUCUCCGGAAGGUAUGCACACUAAAGGGACCGCUGGUGCUAAAUCAGAGGAAGGAGAGGUCAACGGUAGGUCAGUAUGCCCCGAAUCUCCCGGGCAACACGCGCGCUACAAAGGACGGGACAAUGGGCUCCAACACCGAGAGGUAAAGGCAAUCUCGAAACCCGUUCGUAGUCUGGAUUGAGGGCUGUAACCCGCYCUCAUGAAACUGGAUUCCGUAGUAAUCGCGGGUCAACAUCCCGCGGUGAAUAUGCCCCUGCUCCUUGCACACACCGCCCGUCAAACCAUCCGAGUUGGGUCGAAGUGAGGGUCUGCUCUUGUGGCAAGCUCGAACUUGGGUUCGACAAGGGGGGUU
rnacentral:rRNA from 1 species